CUUUCCUAGUACACUGAAAACGCUUCGUCCUCUCAGCACCUGCUCUUUCAACAGGGAGCUGAGCCUAACCCAAGAGAGACAUAGUGACAAAGUUAAAUUCGAAAGCCUGUGUCAGUGCUGCCAAAUCGCAGCCUGCCUCUCCCGCGGGGAUUAUGGAUAAACAGAAUGAAGCACUGCCGGGAAAGGCCAUUGAAGGCUGAAGAAAUUGCAAACCUAUCUAGGAACUGUACACAUUUGUGGCUGUCCCUUCUCACCUGCUCAGUGAAGGAAAGUCCAUGAUGACCGGGGAGUUGUUAGAAGCUGGGAGCCGGAGAUCAUCGCGAACGCAGUUGCUGGGCAUGACAACCGCUCUGCUCACAACCACCAAACACUGCGGAGAGUUGUGAACACAGCUCAGCAGAUCCUGGAAACCAGCCUCCCCUCUCAGCACUCUGACUACACUUCUCAGUGCCUCAGUAAUGAAGCCAGUGUAAUUAAAACCUCCAUCCACCCCAGAUAUCCCCUCUUCUUCUGCCUCCUUUUGGACAGGAGGCCCAAAAGCCUGGAAGCACAGAUGGCGGCAUGUUCAACCACACCGGCCUCUCGAGGGGCCUACCAAGGCGCACUUCUCUUCUUAAAAUGUGCUUUUUGUGAUCGUAAGGCUAUACUGGACUCCAAAAACUACAAGUACAACAGAUCUAUCACAUCAGUGAUCUGCUCACUGUUCAGAGCAGCUGACCAUAGUGUCAAAGGAGCCGGUAGACAGGCCGAGAAGCAGAAGCCGGCGGAUGGGCUGGAGAAGAAGAAGCAGUUGGGUCAGAGAAGGGGAAGCUAGAGGUUGGGUCGGAGAAGUUGACAGAGAGAGUUCGGAGGAGCUGACUGAUAGUCAAAGGCAUCAAAGUUGGUGUCCGAAAGCAGCGUGCGGCAUAAUUGUGAGUGACUGUCUUGAAUGUUUCUCUUGUGAUCGCAAGACCCUGUUGGACAUUGAUAAUGUAAGGUGCCACAGGCCCGUUUCCCUUGCUUGGUGGUGAUAACAAGGCAGCAGCGUGGCCUCAGUUGUAGUGAGGACUAGGCCUCGAGCCGUGGGCUUGCCUGCUGCCAGAGGCAGUGUAGCGUGGUGUCCACGCUCGGUUGGGGGCUGGCCUCUCUCAUCAGUGUUUCCCGCCAACGUUUUGCGGAAGUCGAAUCUGGAUAAACUCACUCAAGGACUGUAUAAGUACAAACUCUUUAUUCAAAGCCUCCGGGGCAUUUGGGUUAGUCACUCAAACAAGAAGAGUCUGUGACUGUUCCUCUUACAGAAUAGAUACAAUUGUUCACACAGGGCAGGCUGGAGCCAGUCUUCUCUAUGUGCAUGACAGUACAAAGAAACCGGGACCUUCAAGCACUAACUGUCUAACUGCAAGAAGAAAUAUGACUCAACAUUGAAAGCAAGAUUAGCACAUCUGUUAAUCAUCAGCAUUUUCUUGCAGAAAAGCAGGCUGCUUUGUUUAACUAACUGUGUUAAUCCUUUACAUACUUUAUCAGUUUGACCAGUGGAAUGACAUGCUGGAAGCUGCACCAUCAAUUUGCAUGUUGCUCAAGGUCUUGGAAUACACACGUGUUUUCCUGUGUAAUGCCGUGUGUGCAUUUUUCUCUCUUGCCAUUUUGAGUGUAAGUUAUGCACCUCGGCUGCAGAGGAACACUGUCUCAUUCAACUGUAUCUGUGUAUGGUUUUAAUGAUAAUUAAACUUGAUUUGAUUUGAUACCCACCAGGCUCAAGGACAGUUUCUACUUCACUGUUGUAAGACUAUUGAAUGGUUCCCUAGUAUGAUAAGAUGGACUUUUGACCUCACAAUCUAUGUUGUCAUGGCCUUGCACACUUUUGUCUACCUGCACUGCACUCUCUCUGUCACUGUGGGUCUUUAUUCUGUAUUCUGUUGUUUUACUUCGCAAUGACUGUUACUGCAUGAGAUGGUCUGCUUCAUUGUCUGAAGGUUGCAAACAGAAUUGAACAUUAUGCAACCAGCAGUAACCGGCCACACUCUCAGCUUAUGAUUAAGCAUCUGGUGACAGUUGAGUUGGCUUAGUUCCAAUAUUUCAUUAGUUGGGAGGAUCAUCUUGCUGCUUGAAUUCAAUACGGACAGUUGACACUAUCAUUAUAGUUUAAGUCAUCUCUUCAGUUUUCUUUCUUACAGUUUAUGCACAAUACUUCAAUACAAUUGAAAUCCCUCCAGACACAAAAGCAUAAAUUCUUCAAGGUGUACAUGUGAUCAAAAGCAUCAGGAUUUUUCAGAAAUCUAGAACAAGUCAUGAAAUUUGCUGCACAUGACUGAUUUGUUAAGUGUUACAAGAGUAAAGAAGGUCAAGAAGAAGUAUCAAGAAACCAAAGAAAAAGUAAAGAUUAAAAGGUAUAUGUGGUCUUCUCAUACUCUGACUAGAGAUGACAGCUGAUAACAAUUAACCUAGCCUGAUUCCAUUAGCGUGACACCUGCUACUGAAAGCUAAAAAGUUUCUAGAAAAUGCAGAAGUAUCUAUACCCUAAUUACUGGGAAAUACACUGAACAAUUUCUUGUACAUAGGUGAUUAUAUAAAUAUGCAAGCAAGAAUAGGGAAGUUAAACUACAAUAAAAGUAACAAUCCAUCUCCCCACUUCAAAAGUUUGUAGAAAGGAAUCAUUAGUGAUGUACUGUUCCCAUUGAUGGAUAGAUCAAGAGUUAAAGGGCAUUGGAUAAGGAUGAUUGGAAGAAGAACCGAAAGUGGAAAAAAAAGAAUAUCUGUCUUAGGUGAGGUUCAGACUGGAGCCAGUUGAAGGAAAUUUGGAUUUAAUGCAAGAUUGCCUGUGGAAUUUAGGAUCUCAAAUCCAACAAAACAGAUGGUAUUGGGGAUAAAGAAUCAUCAGGUCCACACAUUACCUUUCCAUCUCCUUAUCUACAGUAAUGUGUUAAUGUCUUCCAAGUUCUGGGCUAUUCUGAGUUCACGUUUUCCCACUGGAUGCACCUUUAUCGCCCAACUUCUUUUGCAAGCACAACAUGGUCACCACAGGUGUGACAAGAAGCCAUCUCAUCAACUGAGCUUUUGCUAUUUUAACCCAAGUUACUUAGCACCUUAGCUUUUCAAAUUUUCUUUCGAUUUAGCCCAUUCUCCUAAUCUGUCUAGGUCCUUCCGAAACCUCUAUAUUUCCUCAGUGCUACCCACCCUCCAGCUAUCUUCGUAUAGUCAAUGAACUUUGCCACAAACCAUCAAUUCCAUCAUCCAAGUCAUUCACAUAUAAAGUAAAAAGAAUCAGUCCCAACACAGAUCCCUGUGGAACAUUACUAGUCACUGCCAGCCAACCAGAAAAGGCUGCCUUUAUUCCCUCUCUUUGCCUCCUUCCUAUCUUUAUCCAUGCUGGUAUCGUUCCUGUAAUACUACGUACUUGUAACUUGAUAAACAGCCUCACGUGUGGCACCUUUGAAAGGGCCCUCUGAAAAUCCAAGUACACAACAUCCACCAAUCCUCCGUUUUCUAUCCUGCUUGUUAUUUCUUUAAAUAAUUCCAACAGAUUCGUUAGGCAAGAUUUUCCCUUGAGGAAACCAUGCUGACUACGGCCUAUUUUAUCAUGUGCCCUGAGACUUCAUAGUUAAUGAUCAACUCCAACAUCUUCCCAACCACUGAGAUCAGACUAACUGGCCUAUAGUUUCCUUUCUUCUGCCUCUCACCCUUUUUCAAGAAUGAAGUGAAAUUUGCAAUUUUCCAUUCCUCCAGAACCAUGCAGAAUCAAUUGAUUAUUGAAAGGUCAUUACUAAUGUCUCCAUAGUGUCUCCAGCCUCUCUUUCAGAACACUGCAUGGUACAUCAUUGUUGUGAUGGAAAUGAGACAGAUUCUUUGUGGCUCAAAGGCAAGGACUUCGGACACACAGUUUUAAUAAUGAGUUUAUUUACAAGGGAAGAAAGCCUGGGAACAACAUAAGCAGCUACAAUAUUUGCACAAACACGCUUAAAAUAGACGAGCAUGGGGAAAGUCGGGUCGGCAGUACAAUACACCAGAAAACAGUGUGGGGACAGAGUACAGGUACACAUACAAGCAAGGGAAAAGUAACUAUGAUACCCGCCACCCCUUGACUAUGGGCAGGCACAGCUCUGUUACAGGGACAACAAUAAACACCUCCACAACCCUAUUCAAUGCACAGCUCACCACGUGUCUCCAGCACUGUACUGCACUCUUCAGCCCGAAGUGAAACAUGGUGGUCCCUCGAGGAUGGCAAAAAGAAAGCGAGCCAAGCACAUGUAGCACCCUUUACAGCUCAGGAGGCUGGAGGGUCCAGCCCAGGUGAUUCACCGGGGGGGGGGGGGAGCAAUGGCUUGGUGCUAGACAGGCUAAUCCAGUUAAACUGGCCAAUGGUUAAGUGUGCAUUGAUUAGUUGGGAGGGGUAAAAUGUUGACUGGCAUGUGGUGUGACCUCCGACCAGGUGAGGGCAGUAUGCCACGUGGCAGGCACAGCUCUCUGGAUACAACCAUCUGGUCCUGAUGAUUUAUCUGCCUUCAGAACGUUCAGUUUCGUGAGAACCUUCUCCUUAGUGACGGUAACUUCAUACACUUCUGACCCCCUGACACUCUGGAACUUCCACCAUACUGCUGGUGUCUUCCACAGUGACGACUGAUGCAAGGUACUUAAUCAGAUCAUCUGCCUUUUCCUUGAACCCAUUACUACCUGCCCAUCAAUGUUUUCCCGUGGUCUGCUACCCACUCUCACUUUGCUUUGUGUACCUGAAGAAACUUUUGGUCCCCUCUUUAAUAUUAUUGGCUAGCUUACUUUCUUAUUCCAUCUUUUCCUUCUUAAUGACUGUUUUAGUUGCCAUCUGUUGCUUCCCCAUCCUUUAACUUCGCACAGUUCUUUUGCUCUGUUAUAUGUCCUCUCUGGCUUUUAUGUUGGCUUUAACUUCCUUUGUUAGCCAUGGUCAUGUCAUCUUGACAUUAGAAUACUUCUUCCUCCUUGGGAUGUAUACAUCCUGUGCCUUCCAAAUUGCUUCCAGAAAUUCCUGCCAUUGUUGCUUUGCCAUUAACCCUGUGUCACUCCUCGCUAUCAGGUGUGGGUAAAACCCGACAAGGGUCACCAGUUGGAAAAAAAAAGAUGGUAAGCCGCAAAAGCACGUUAGUGCAAGGGGUUUUAUUUAAUGCCAGAAGGAAAAAGUGCCAAAGCUGCCCAAAAGUUGUGAAGAAAAAAAAAAUUACCAGUUGAAAAAUAAACAUGUAUGUUACAAAUACGCAGAGGCUUUCUCCACAACACACUUCGUUUUUAACUUUUCAGUAUAACUAUACACCAACCUGUCUUCUGCAACCCAGAGGUGACUGCCUCCCCGUAGCUCCUACCGUUGUCCUCCCAGAUGAACUAAAAGUCACUGAGCUGCAGCUCAGUUCUUUAAUACCCUCUCUGAGCUCGGGGUCAGGGCAUCUGGUGUAGAUGUGGUUAUCCAGGAGCCCAGAGGUCUCCCAAGCUUCCCACAUCUCAUACACAGUGCAAAACACUGCCCCUGGAGUCAUUCUCCAUGCACUACUAUGCCCUACCAGGAGAGGAAUGAAGAAUUAAGAACAAAUGCUCCUUCCCCUGUGCUUCACAGCUGGGAUGAGGUUUUGAUGUUGUUGUGUGGUGCCCUUUUCCCUCCAAACAUACCAAUGUGCAUUUCUGCCAAAAAGUUCAACUUUUGUCUCAUCUACCCACAGGACAUUGUCCCAGAAGUGUCACAGAACAUCCAGGUGGUCAUUUGCAAACUUGAAACGUGCAGCAAUGUUUUUUUUCAGACAGCAGUGGUUUCCUCCAUGGUGUUCUUCCAUGAACACCAUUUUGUUCAGUGUUUUUCUUAUAGUGGUCACAUGAGCAGAGACCUUAGCAAGUUCUGGAGACUUCUGCAGGUCUUUUGCUGUUACCCUUGGGUUCUUUAUCACCUCCUUCAGCAUUGCAUGUUGUGCUCUUGGUGUAGUCUUUACAGGACGCCCACUCCUAGUGAGAGUAGCAACAGUGCUGAGUUUCCUCCAUUUGUAGACAAUUUCUCUUACUGUAGACUGAUGUACACUCAGGUCUUUAGGAAUACUUAUGUAGCCUUUUUCAGUUCAUAGAAUUCUUCUUCUAAGGUCCUCAGAAAGUUGUUUGAUUGAGACAUGGCACACAUAAACAUAUUUUUCUUGAGAAGAGCAGUCUUUGUCAGUAACCUGACUUUGUGUGUCUUUUUUUAUAGGGCAGGGCAUCUCUACAAACCAUGCCUCCAAUCUCCUCUCCUUUAAUGAAACACUUGACUCCAAAUUGCUUUUGUAGAAGGCAUUACCUCAGAGGUUCACAUAAUUUUUCCAACAAAUAAAUAUAAUAUUGGAUCAGGGAAUUGGGCCUGCAGUCCUCAAAGUCGCCUGAUGCUGGUGGCUGGAGUUGGGGACAGCAUAAGCGGCGUGCGAGGAAAUGGAAGCGAGGCGAGCGGGCAGGAGUCCGUGCCAGGAAAAGAGCAAGCCCCAGCCGGCCGGCUCUCCCGUCCAUUCUGCUCUCCAGUGGACAUUAAAUUGGACUACAUCUGUGGCAACGAAAUACUCAGCUGGAGUACAGGAAUGGACGGAAUCCUGGACGCUGCCAUUCAGCUGUUUAUUUAUGUAACAGAUUUUCCCCCAAGCCAUCGGACUACCAACCUACUGCCCUCUGCUGGGCCUAUUGUCUUGUUUAUUAUUUAUUGUAAUGCCUGCACUGUUCUGUGUAUUUUAUGCAGUCCUGGGUAGGCCUGUAGUCUAGCGUAGUUCUUGUGUUGGUCUACGUAGUUCAGUGUAGUUUUUGUAUUGUUCAUGUAGCAGCAUGGUCCUGAAAAAUGUCUAAUUUUUACUGUGUACUGUACCAGCAGUUAUGGUCAAAAUGACAAUGAGUGACUUGACUUGACUUUUCUCAAUUAAAUAGAUG